ACACCCUUGUUUCUCUUCAGCUCGAACAAAUUUUUCGCCUUUUACAACACAUUUCGUGGAGAGGAUACUUAUGGGUAUUCUCAAUUUUUUUUGUUAGCCCUAAUUUCAGGGCCG